AAGGGCUGUAGCUCAGUGGCAGAGCGCUUGCCUUGCAUGCAGACGUUCCCAGGUUCAAUCCCUGGCACCUUCA